CGGAAACUUUUGUUCAACUAGGAAAGCGUGCGCAUCAAGAAUGUCCCUAUCUAAGACUGUUAUCCUUGUGGUUUCUAUUGUCGCUUUCAUGCUAGUGCAGGAGACAAAAGAAAGAAUAGCGAUUUCCAGUCGCAGCAGAACAGCCUGGGAUAGGAAACCGCAUGGUCCCCAAGGGAAUUCAGAGAUUGAAACCCGUCGACUAAGCGUGGUACCAGCGCCUUAUGAACUGCUAGUCAGUGAUUUUGGACUUUGAUAGAGGCCUACCGUGAUGGUGUAUUUAACACCGAGGUGACGGCUCUUAUUCUGCUGGAUCCCACCUCUGAUGGGGCUUCGUGGGUUUCUACAACGUGAAAAUGCACAUAUUGAGUACGCGCGCAUGCAUUAAACCUGUAUGACGGGCACAACUAUUGGCGCUGUGUCCAAGUUAAAUAAAUAUAGUUACAUGAG